ACGCUGCAACAAAGACAAAAUAUAAAUGACUUUUGCAUUUAUCUAUAAAGGAGACACUGAAAACAAUCUGACUGCAGAAAACUGCAAUUUAACUGACUGGGUAGCUCUCACACAUGAAUACCAUCAUCCCAUUAGCUGCCCUGGUGAAGUCUAUUCUAGACGCUGAGGAUGCCUACUGCUUGGAGCUGGGCAGGGGCUAGAGAAGUAGUUACUUCCUUCCUGGAGGUUUAGUCAGACAAGAAGAAUCACAGUGACUGUGGGAGCCAAGGCUUCAGAACCCUGCACAGCAGUUGGGGGCGCUGCUAUGAGCAAGAGGAACAUCUCCACUGUCUUUUGUGCCUCUGUGCCCCAAACAUAUUUUAGUUUCAAAAAAGAUCGAUCACCAUGGAGGAUCUGCAUCGCCCGUAGCAUGUUAAAAGAACCCAAGUGUCCAAGAAGUGGACGUCCAUGCCGCAGUUUCCUGGACAUGUGGCCAAUGGAUGUGUUGCCCCUUGGAGAUUACCUUCUCUAUGACAGACACAGUUCUAUGAGAAUCACCUGGGCUUACUCAGCAGGAGUUAUCCAUAGUGGCUCCAGUAGAUAACUGCUGAUCAGUUUACCCUUUCUCUCUGGAGCAGCUGCCAAUUCUACAGAGCCCCAAAGCACUAUGUCAGUCACUAAGUUUUAGAGAUGGAGGAAUGGAUGGACAGACGACAAGAGAAAAGAGAUCCUGGGGUAGAUCCCUUGAUGACUGGUUAAAAGCAGCACUAAGUAAAAGAAGGUCCAAAUUCAAAGAGUUUUCAACUAAUGGAAGUGAAAAGAAUUUACAUCGUUAAAAACAAAACCAAAAACCAUAAUUCCCUUCUAUUGCCAACAAACAAUAACAGGUCCCAACCAUUUCUUUUCUAGAUUACUUUAACUGCUUCCUAUUUCUCCAAUCUUUUUCCUUUCCAAGUUUAUUAUAAUUUUUCCCCAUUUAUAUAUUUUUUUAAAAAAGGAAAAAAUUUACUCACAAAACCCUUAAAUUAAUAUGUCUGUUUUCAUUAAGUGUUUUUGUUUGAAUAUAUUUUUUACACAAACAAGUA